UUCCGUAGGUGAACCUGCGGAAGGAUCAUUAGUGAAUCUAGGACGUCCAACUUAACUUGGAGUCCGAACUCUCACUUUCUAACCCUGUGCAUCUGUUAAUUGGAAUAGUAGCUCUUCGGAGUGAACCACCAUUCACUUAUAAAACACAAAGUCUAUGAAUGUAUACAAAUUUAUAACAAAACAAAACUUUCAACAACGGAUCUCUUGGCUCUCGCAUCGAUGAAGAACGCAGCGAAAUGCGAUACGUAAUGUGAAUUGCAGAAUUCAGUGAAUCAUCGAAUCUUUGAACGCACCUUGCGCUCCUUGGUAUUCCGAGGAGCAUGCCUGUUUGAGUGUCAUGAAAUCUUCAACCCACCUCUUUCUUAGUGAAUCUGGUGGUGCGUGGUUUCUGAGCGCUGCUCUGCUUCGGCUUAGCUCGUUCGUAAUGCAUUAGCAUCCGCAACCGAACUUCGGAUUGACUUGGCGUAAUAGACUAUUCGCUGAGGAUUCUAAUUUACUAGAG
rnacentral:rRNA from 1 species